GGUGGCUCAGUGGUAGAGUGCUUGCCUCAUAUGCAUGAGGCCCUGGGUUUGAUUCCUCAGUACCA
rnacentral:tRNA from 1 species